GUGGUGUCAGGUGUGCACAUGGCUCGAGAAAGAGAAACAUCAGAGCUCAGACCAACGCCUUUUCUUCUCCUUUCUUUCGAUGUCUGUCUCUUUCCCCCAAAAAGCUCUUCUUCCUCUCUUCUUGUUCCUGUUCGUCAUCACCAACGGUGCCAUUUUCCCUCUUUUAUCCUUCAUUUUUCCGAUCGACAACAACGAAACCAAGAUAUGGUACGAAAUUUGGAGAUUUUCUCUAUCGUUCUCAUGCUACUUUAUGUUGCAGUUACGAAAUUUGCAGAUUACCUCCAUCAUUCUCAUGCUAUUUUCUGAGCUUUCCCCCCCUUUUUUGAAGGUCCAAAAAUUGGAAUUUUCUUUGAUUCUCUCAAAAACUACUAAUAAGGUGGUAUGGAUCAACAUAUUCCCAACCUAUUUUGCAUAAUAUUGGUGAAUGUUUUGAGCGAGCCUUCUUCUAUUUGCGUAUAUGUGAUUACAGUUUAUACUCUGCUUUUCUUUAUUUUUUUCUCUGCAAAAGAGAUUGCUUUGGAUUUUUUUGUUAUUUAUUUCUUGUUAUGACAUAUUAGAUGUAAGUUUCAAUUUUGGUUAUCAUGAAGUGUUUAUCCUCUUAGUUGUGUCUUGGAAAGUUUAAAUUUAUCAUGUUUCCUUGAGCCUUUUAAACUUAAAAUUGAUCAAUCCUCACUAGACGUUGGAUUCAUUUGUGCAUUUCAUAGGUCUCCACUUUUUGGGUCUUUUUGUACGUGGGGUUACUUCUUUCCCUUUUCCCCUUUUCUGUUUUAAAGUAAUGUAAUGAUAUAAUCAUGUUUAAUUUAUCAAAUGUUUGACAAAAUGUUAAAACUGUUAAUUUGUUAAAUAGCAACUAAAAUUGGAAAAAAGUUGUCCCCUAUAACCUAUUUUCUUGAUUUUCAACCGAAAGACUUUGUUCCUCUAUCCAUGAAUUUCCUCUCUCUUCUCAUGGUCUUCACUUACUGAUAAAAAGGAGAAGCUUUAUGUGCUUAUAUAAUCUCUUCUUCUAUUGUAGUUUUACAAAAGGAAAAAUAUCUGUUUUUAAAUGCUAAUCUCUUAGAGAGGUCUUCUAUUUAAGAUUUUUCCCCAUGAGUACGAAUGUGUAAUCUUUGUCAUGGUGCAGGUUUUUUACCCAUAAUAUUUUGGUUGGUCUAUUUAUUUAGACAAAAGAAAAAGUGUGAGGUUGGAUAUUAUAUAGGUGCAAUCUUCUGAUGAUUUUUUCCCUUCAGCCUUCUGUUUUAUUAAAAUACCAGAUUUUGAACAAAUAUCAUGAAUCAGAAAUGUCUAUGCUCAAUUAUAUAUGGUAGAAACUGAUAUGUGAAAAUCGGCUCUAAUAAUUUGAAAUUCACUCCUUUAAUUCAUUAGUGAACAGUUUGUUAAUAGUAGCCUUCCUACCUUUUUUCAUGCAACUUAUUUUAGACGGGUUUUCCUUCUGGGUUUAUAUUGUGUAUGACAUGUGUUUUUAGCAAUUAGAGGAUUAUUUUUGACUAAUUAAUAUGUUAACAGGUUACAAAAAAUAAGUUAGAGUGGGACUAAUUGGCAGUGGAGUGAGAGAAGUCUUAACAUGGGAAAGAACAAGCAUAAAAGGCAUGUUAAAGAUUUGUCAAUUGACAGAGCAACUCUGUAUGAACAUUAACUAGAUGCUGCCUAAGGUAUAUGUAAUUUGGUGAUAAAACACUACAUUCUGCUGAUUUAUUUUGGUGGUUCUUGAUUCUCAUUUUGCAGAAUUUAAGUAGUGAACUCUACCACAAAUCCUUGAAAGAUGCUGCUAAGAUAAAGGAACAAGGAAAAAGGAGGCUGCUUUUCUCCAUUCAACCAUGAAGAAGUAAGAAAAUUGUGCCCAAGAUAAAGGUGCAAAGGUGCAACUGUUUAUGCAUACGUGGUCUACUAUGAGAGAUAGGUAGCCAGCUAUUUCACACUUUUGGAUAGCAAUUUAUAACUCAAGAAAACAAGAUUAAAGUGAUAAAAUUUGUUGGGUCAGUGGAUGAAUAUUUUGGCCUCAAAUGCCAUUUUGAAAGAUUGGAAGCAUAUGCAGCUCUCCACUCCCGAUUGUGUUUGAGUCUUGUAUCUCUUAGUAUUUACAUUAAAAAAGGGAGUCUUCAUGGGUGUUAGUAGUUGAGAGAAAAAGGGCAUUUCAUAGGCUUUUUGUAUUUUUAUAAUUUAUACCUUUUGGAACAUUAAGUAUAUUGUACUGAUACUGCUUUCUAAUGGUAAAAUCUGGUGGAGAAAGAAAUCCAGUAAGUCCGUAACUUACAAUUA